AUAGCUACAAAAAAACAAAUCAUUACUUUAUUUACAGGUUAUUUUACAUGCAUUAUAUGUCAAAACCUCCUGGUUGAAGCAGCCAUCCUGCUUUAUGCUGAUUAAAUGGUGAAAGUUCUAACAAGUGAUGUUGUGGUCGUACCGUAUUACUGCCUGAUGAUGUAGCUAUUUGAGUGCUAUAGCUUCUAAUAAUGGAGCAGGUGAAAUCUUGAUCUAUCAUCACUAAUCUUUUAUCCUGUAUUGCUAAUGACAAGCUAACCUUUUUAUCUUCAUGAAUUUUAGUACUGGGCUUAACGGCAUGUUUUUUUGGGGUAAAAGUAUCGAAUAGAACAGGAACUUGGGGACCAAGAUAAAACCUAUAUCUCCUCAGAUAGACCGGAUGAUAUAUUUCCAAUGGUUAUCUGGCAGAUUAAUCUUGUAUGCCCAACUGAAAGUAACAUAGACAACUUGCGUAAAGUAGCAGCUCAUCAGGUACCUUUGCUCAUUAUUAGGUUCUUUUGCAUCAUUCGAGCUAUUAAAAAUUUAAAUAGAAAAUGGCUUUCCAAUCACAGACCAUUUCAUAUAGCGGAUAUAGAGACUGAAACAGGAUCACAUUCGCAUUGUUUCUCAAUUUAGGGAAGAUCACCUAGGAAAAGAAAGAAGAUAUCACACCUAGGUAUACCCUCUCAUGCAGAUCAAAGGAAACUAGGUGACCUGAAUUUAGGGAAGAGCAAUAGUUAGUGGAGACAAAGAGACCCAAUGCCACCACCACCAGAUCUGGCGUUUUGACAUCUGAAGCCAGUACUAGGUAAUGGUUCUUGGAAUAAAUGGAUAGCUCACUUGUGUAUGCGUUUGUGUGAUCUGAUGUGUGGGUGAGAUAAAUAACAUUUUAAUUGGCACAGGGAGUGUCCAUCUUCUAUUUUCGUUGAGCAUCCAAGGGUCUUUGUUAGUGCUUUUUCCGCACCCGCUAUGGACAUGUGCACAUUUAUGCCUUCACAAAUGCACCGCUGUCUUAAUCAGGUUUCAGUAGAUACUGUCAUACUCAUGUAAGAAUUGACUUGGUUCCACGAAACCUUCAGGUUACUCAGGUUCAGAGGUGUUUCAUAGUAGUGACCAAGUCUUCAAUAUGGCAUCUGAAUUAACAAGGCCAUGGACGCCGUUGAGAUUCCAUCCAUGGUCAUGAUCAAGGCAGCUUCCUACGACAGUAUACCCACCAAGAGCGAAGUGACGGUGAUAUUCUCUCCGUCAUGUGCAUAAAUUCUAUUGGAGAAGUCUCAGUAGUCAGUCAUGUGUAUUGGUUGUUGAAUAUACAGUUAGCACAAUAUAUUAAGACAUGUACUAAUGACGAUUUCAGUGUUCACCCAUCAGAUAGUUUUUCAUUUGGUGUUCGACUACCAUCGAUUCUACAGAUGCUUAAUAUAUUGUUUUACAAUCUGUUGACCAAGUAUAUAGGCAUGUGCUACUUUGUUCGUGAUUUCGUGUGUUUUAUCCUAAUUUCAUUAUAUUGACUUUGUUUUUGGAAGACGUAAAAAACAUAUAAUCAUUUUCUCACUUUUCAUUGUUGUUAUACCAAUUGUAAAUUGGUGCAAAUUCCACAUGAAAAUGGGCCAAGGUGCACCAGAAGUGUCUUCAUUCCUCCAUAUUGUCCAUAAUUGGGUUAUAAUCCUCGAUACUAUCCAUGAUAAUCCUCCAUAUUAUCCAUAGUACAUAGCGAUUUUUACAAAACAAUUAUUGAUGUGAAGUACCGGGGCUGCGCGCCAAGGCGCGCAUCAAAAUGGACACGGUGGAGGUUAUGGAGAGAUGCAGGUCUAGGAUCCUUUGCUUCUGUCGUGCACGAAAGCCGGCGUAGGAAUUCGCUAACCAUAGGAUACAUUUCAGUGCAAGGUUACCUUGCAUUCUGACCCUAUGAUUUACUUAACCCAAGGUGAGGCGUUGUCCAUUUCCCAAGCCUGUGCAAGGUUUGAAGCGUCUGGCGAAUUCUGAUCCUAUGGUCAUGUGCUCCAUGGAGAAGUGCUGAGCAUAUUUAUUGGUGGAGCUGGAGAGCUGCACCUUGAAAUUCGUUUAAAGGAUCUGCAAGAGGACUUCAUGGAUGGUGCUGAAAUUACUAUUUUUUCCUCUUGGAAUCUCACUUGGAUUUUUCUGUGACAUCCAAGAAAAAUGAAGCUUGAUGAUUGUGUACCUCAGAAAAGAAUCAUAGUGAAGUUACCAAUAUGCUCCAUAUAUAAAUUUCUUUUAUGUGUUUUAGCUUCUCUGACUCUACAAUAAUUUGUAUCCUUGCAAAGUUUUGCAGACUCUACCAGUUGAGCUAACAGUUUGUCAUAUGAGUCGGUUGGCACACCACAGGUUAAUUGCGUCAUCAAAUGACUCUGGUGUAGAACUAAGGUUCUUUUCUCAGGUACCACCUAAAAGAUGUCACAUGAAACUACAUGAAAAGUAGUUCUGGGCAAUGGCUCUACAUGCAGAACUGGCUAAACUACCCGCGAUAAAACAGAUGACAGUGACACCGUAGAUGAGCUUGGUGCUAUAUACAUAUUGAGUCCAUUAUCGAGGAGCCUAUUAUAGGUGUUCCUGCCAUCGAGUCUAUUAUCAGAGUUCCAUUGUCGACUCUUAUCCUCUGCAUAGACAAGAUUGUUUGCCUAUAAUCGCAUUCAGAGAUAAUAGCACCCACCUCCCCCUUGUGCGAACUCGUACGUCUUCUCAUGUUGGCUUCCAUGGAUGAAGACUCCUGCGAUGAAGAGUCUAUGUCCACCCCAACUACUGUUGUGAACAACCAUUUCGGCAAUCCAAUUCCUAUCCUAUGAUGUCGGUGUUUCCGCAUAUCAAAUUAAACAUAUUCCGUCUAUGUUUGAUUAUAUUAUGCAGAUGCUCCAAAAGAAACGCGGCGGAGAACCAUGUCUACAGAAAUAGGGAAGAGAAAUAAACAUAUGAGAGAUAAUAAAGAAUCAUAUUUGAGGUAGCUCAACACAGUUGAGCUUUGGUGUUGGGGUUCCAUGGUGUUUCCUAGGGCUCGCCUCAUUGUGAGACGUGGUGAAACCUAAGGUAACAUUAGGCACCCGAAAAUUUGAGAAAAUGGCUCCAUAAGAGGAACCGAAGGGGAAGUCUAUGAAGCCAGGGAAGUGGUUGGCUAGGGGAGGGCCAAGGAGAGGCCACCUCCUGUCGCCAUCACCUCUACCACCGCCGCAAUUCCCCUUCAGCUCAAGCGCAUCUAGGGGCAGGCUUACCGGAGGGUUGGAGCAGAGCCGGGUAGGGGUCAGUGAGAUGAUGGCUGGGAAGAGGAGAAGCUCAUGUUCGGGUGCCCGUAAGCUUUUGGUGAAUUGGUUCGAGGGUGGUAUUUUUUCAUGUUAUGUCCCUAUCCUGGGCUCUGAUGCAAAUAUUCAUGUGCCCGUCGUGACAAUGAACUUCUCCUUAUGGAUGAAAAAUACGUGCUCAUAUUCAUGUCCACAUAUGGAUGCUGCUUAUACUUUGUACGGUAAUUCUCUUGGGUUGUCAUGCGAUCAGUUACUUACCUACUUGUGUAGUUCAUUCCAGCACAAUAUGGCUACCUCAGGAAAAAGAUAGUUGUAAAUUUCUUGUUCAACGCCGUUAUCUACUUAUUAGUA